UACGUAGGGUGCAAGCGUUGUCCGGAAUUAUUGGGCGUAAAGGGCUCGUAGGCGGUUUGUCGCGUCGGGAGUGAAAACUCAGGGCUUAACCCUGAGCCUGCUUCCGAUACGGGCAGACUUGAGUUCGGUAGGGGAGACUGGAAUUCCUGGUGUAGCGGUGAAAUGCGCAGAUAUCAGGAGGAACACCGGUGGCGAAGGCGGGUCUCUGGGCCGAUACUGACGCUGAGGAGCGAAAGCGUGGGGAGCGAACAGG
rnacentral:rRNA from 1 species